rnacentral:rRNA from 2 species
CAGUCGAACGAACUCUGGUAUUGAUUGGUGCUUGCAUCAUGAUUUACAUUUGAGUGAGUGGCGAACUGGUGAGUAACACGUGGGAAACCUGCCCAGAAGCGGGGGAUAACACCUGGAAACAGAUGCUAAUACCGCAUAACAACUUGGACCGCAUGGUCCGAGUUUGAAAGAUGGCUUCGGCUAUCACUUUUGGAUGGUCCCGCGGCGUAUUAGCUAGAUGGUGGGGUAACGGCUCACCAUGGCAAUGAUACGUAGCCGACCUGAGAGGGUAAUCGGCCACAUUGGGACUGAGACACGGCCCAAACUCCUACGGGAGGCAGCAGUAGGGAAUCUUCCACAAUGGACGAAAGUCUGAUGGAGCAACGCCGCGUGAGUGAAGAAGGGUUUCGGCUCGUAAAACUCUGUUGUUAAAGAAGAACAUAUCUGAGAGUAACUGUUCAGGUAUUGACGGUAUUUAACCAGAAAGCCACGGCUAACUACGUGCCAGCAGCCGCGGUAAUACGUAGGUGGCAAGCGUUGUCCGGAUUUAUUGGGCGUAAAGCGAGCGCAGGCGGUUUUUUAAGUCUGAUGUGAAAGCCUUCGGCUCAACCGAAGAAGUGCAUCGGAAACUGGGAAACUUGAGUGCAGAAGAGGACAGUGGAACUCCAUGUGUAGCGGUGAAAUGCGUAGAUAUAUGGAAGAACACCAGUGGCGAAGGCGGCUGUCUGGUCUGUAACUGACGCUGAGGCUCGAAAGUAUGGGUAGCAAACAGGAUUAGAUACCCUGGUAGUCCAUACCGUAAACGAUGAAUGCUAAGUGUUGGAGGGUUUCCGCCCUUCAGUGCUGCAGCUAACGCAUUAAGCAUUCCGCCUGGGGAGUACGGCCGCAAGGCUGAAACUCAAAGGAAUUGACGGGGGCCCGCACAAGCGGUGGAGCAUGUGGUUUAAUUCGAAGCUACGCGAAGAACCUUACCAGGUCUUGACAUACUAUGCAAAUCUAAGAGAUUAGACGUUCCCUUCGGGGACAUGGAUACAGGUGGUGCAUGGUUGUCGUCAGCUCGUGUCGUGAGAUGUUGGGUUAAGUCCCGCAACGAGCGCAACCCUUAUUAUCAGUUGCCAGCAUUAAGUUGGGCACUCUGGUGAGACUGCCGGUGACAAACCGGAGGAAGGUGGGGAUGACGUCAAAUCAUCAUGCCCCUUAUGACCUGGGCUACACACGUGCUACAAUGGAUGGUACAACGAGUUGCGAACUCGCGAGAGUAAGCUAAUCUCUUAAAGCCAUUCUCAGUUCGGAUUGUAGGCUGCAACUCGCCUACAUGAAGUCGGAAUCGCUAGUAAUCGCGGAUCAGCAUGCCGCGGUGAAUACGUUCCCGGGCCUUGUACACACCGCCCGUCACACCAUGAGAGUUUGUAACACCCAAAGUCGGUGGGG